rnacentral:rRNA from 1 species
UAGUGGCGAACGGGUGAGUAACACGUGGGUAAUCUGCCCUGCACUCUGGGAUAAGCCUUGGAAACGAGGUCUAAUACCGGAUAUCACAACGCUUCGCAUGGAGUGNUGUUGAAAGUUCUGGCGGUGCAGGAUGAACCCGCGGCCUAUCAGCUUGUUGGUGGGGUAGUGGCCUACCAAGGCGACGACGGGUAGCCGGCCUGAGAGGGUGACCGGCCACACUGGGACUGAGACACGGCCCAGACUCCUACGGGAGGCAGCAGUGGGGAAUAUUGCACAAUGGGCGAAAGCCUGAUGCAGCGACGCCGCGUGAGGGAUGACGGCCUUCGGGUUGUAAACCUCUUUCGCCAGGGACGAAGCGCAAGUGACGGUACCUGGAUAAGAAGCACCGGCUAACUACGUGCCAGCAGCCGCGGUAAUACGUAGGGUGCAAGCGUUGUCCGGAUUUAUUGGGCGUAAAGAGCUCGUAGGCGGUUUGUCGCGUCGGCUGUGAAAUCUGGAGGCUUAACCUUCAGCGUGCAGUCGAUACGGGCAGACUUGAGUUCGGUAGGGGAGACUGGAAUUCCU